AUACGUAGGUGGCAAGCGUUGUCCGGAAUUAUUGGGCGUAAAGCGCGCGCAGGUGGUUCCUUAAGUCUGAUGUGAAAGCCCCCGGCUCAACCGGGGAGGGUCAUUGGAAACUGGGGAACUUGAGUGCAGAAGAGGAUAGUGGAAUUCCAAGUGUAGCGGUGAAAUGCGUAGAGAUUUGGAGGAACACCAGUGGCGAAGGCGACUGUCUGGUCUGUAACUGACACUGAGGCGCGAAAGCGUGGGGAGCAAACAGGAUUAGAUACCCUGGUAGUCCACGCCGUAAACGAUGAGUGCUAAGUGUUGGGGGGUUUCCGCCCCUCAGUGCUGCAGCUAACGCAUUAAGCACUCCGCCUGGGGAGUACAGUCGCAAGACUGAAACUUAAAGGAAUUGACGGGG
rnacentral:rRNA from 1 species